rnacentral:rRNA from 1 species
UACGUAGGGUGCAAGCGUUAAUCGGAAUUACUGGGCGUAAAGCGUGCGCAGGCGGUUUUGUAAGUCUGACGUGAAAUCCCCGGGCUCAACCUGGGAAUUGCGUUGGAGACUGCAAGGCUAGAAUCUGGCAGAGGGGGGUAGAAUUCCACGUGUAGCAGUGAAAUGCGUAGAGAUGUGGAGGAACACCGAUGGCGAAGGCAGCCCCCUGGGUCAAGAUUGACGCUCAUGCAAGAAAGCGUGGGGAGCAAACAGG